GCAUCAAUGGGGUAGUGGUAACCUGGGUCGUUGCCAUGGUGUAAUCCUUACCACAUUCAUCGACCCGCCGGGGGUUCAAUUCCCCCUUGAUGCA